UUGCGGCAGCCCUGAGGCAACCGGUCCCUGGCGGGCGAGACCGGUCCCUGAGCACGCCUUCGCAGAGAGAGACCGGUCCCACGCAGGGAGAGACCGGUUCCCGAACGAUGGUUUUUCGGGUUCGCAGCUAGAGACCGGUCCCUGCUGGGGAGAGACCGGUCCCUCUGGGCGAAAACUGCCCAGUCCGGGCUGUUGCAAUAUUGAAUUUUUGAGGGGCCUCUCCAGAUUUUGUUACACUAGAUGGGCUUAUUAGCCAUUUCCUCUUCUUCCCUCUCUCAUUUUCUCAUUCUCACCCUCUCCCUACACUUUCUAGAGAGAGAAGAAGAAAAAGGAGGAGAAGAAGAAGAAGAGCUAGCUUGAGGGAGCUUGGAGCUCCACCCCUUUCUCUCUUUCCC
rnacentral:lncRNA from 1 species